AUCCUGGCUCAGAUUGAACGCUGGCGGAAUGCUUUACACAUGCAAGUCGAACGGUAGAGGGGGCAACCCCUUGAGAGUGGCGAACGGGUGAGUAAUAUAUCGGAACGUGCCCAGUCGUGGGGGAUAACGUAGCGAAAGCUACGCUAAUACCGCAUACGAUCUAUGGAUGAAAGCGGGGGAUCGCAAGACCUCGCGCGAUUGGAGCGGCCGAUAUCAGAUUAGGUAGUUGGUGAGGUAAAGGCUCACCAAGCCGACGAUCUGUAGCUGGUCUGAGAGGACGACCAGCCACACUGGGACUGAGACACGGCCCAGACUCCUACGGGAGGCAGCAGUGGGGAAUUUUGGACAAUGGGCGCAAGCCUGAUCCAGCAAUGCCGCGUGCAGGAUGAAGGCCUUCGGGUUGUAAACUGCUUUUGUACGGAACGAAACGGUGAGCUCUAAUACAGUUUGCUAAUGACGGUACCGUAAGAAUAAGCACCGGCUAACUACGUG
rnacentral:rRNA from 1 species